rnacentral:rRNA from 1 species
CAGUAGCCGCGGUAAUACAGAGGGUGCGAGCGUUAAUCGGAUUUACUGGGCGUAAAGCGUGCGUAGGCGGCUUUUUAAGUCGGAUGUGAAAUCCCUGAGCUUAACUUAGGAAUUGCAUUCGAUACUGGGAAGUUAGAGUAUGGGAGAGGAUGGUAGAAUUCCAGGUGUAGCGGUGAAAUGCGUAGAGAUCUGGAGGAAUACCGAUGGCGAAGGCAGCCAUCUGGCCUAAUACUGACGCUGAGGUACGAAAGCAUGGGGAGCAAACAGGAUUAGAUACCCGCGUAGUCCCUGUCUCUUAUAC